rnacentral:rRNA from 1 species
AGUGAACGCUGGCGGCGUGCUUAACACAUGCAAGUCGAACGAGAACGGUCCUUCGGGAUGUCAGCUAAGUGGCGGACGGGUGAGUAAUGUAUAGUUAAUUUGCCCCUUGGAGAGGGAUAACAGUUGGAAACGACUGCUAAUACCUCAUACUCCUUCUGCCUUAAUGGUAGUUGGGAAAUGUUUUUUCGCCAAGGGAUAAGACUAUAUGGUAUCAGGUAGUUGGUGGGGUAAGAGCCUACCAAGCCAAUGACGCCUAGCUGGUCUGAGAGGAUGAUCAGCCACACUGGAACUGAGACACGGUCCAGACUCCUACGGGAGGCAGCAGUGGGGAAUAUUGCACAAUGGAGGAAACUCUGAUGCAGCAACGCCGCGUGGAG